UACGUAGGGUGCAAGCGUUAAUCGGAAUUACUGGGCGUAAAGCGUGCGCAGGCGGUCUUUGUAAGACAGGUGUGAAAUCCCCGGGCUCAACCUGGGAACUGCAUUUGUGACUGCAAGGCUGGAGUACGGCAGAGGGGGAUGGAAUUCCGCGUGUAGCAGUGAAAUGCGUAGAUAUGCGGAGGAACACCGAUGGCGAAGGCAAUCCCCUGGGCCUGUACUGACGCUCAUGCACGAAAGCGUGGGGAGCAAACAGG
rnacentral:rRNA from 1 species